ACGGGGGGUGCGAGCGUUGUCCGGAAUCACUGGGCGUAAAGCGUGCGUAGGUGGUUCGUUAAGUCUGAUGUGAAAGCCCUGGGCUCAACCUGGGAAUGGCAUUGGAAACUGGCGACCUAGAGUGCGGUAGAGGGUAGUGGAAUUCCCGGUGUAGCAGUGAAAUGCGUAGAGAUCGGGAGGAACAUCCGUGGCGAAGGCGACUACCUGGACCAGCACUGACACUGAGGCACGAAAGCGUGGGGAGCAAACAGGA
rnacentral:rRNA from 1 species